rnacentral:misc_RNA from 1 species
AAAAUUCUCAAACCCACUUGACGUGGCUUUGGAUGUGGGGGCUUUUGUUUGCAGGCUUUUCUUCUCAAGUCUGCUCCCCUGAAAUGCAUUAGUGGUGUCUGGAGUGGAAACCGCUAGGUGUGAUAAUUAUCGUCUACGCCUUUGGGUAUGCCACAUGAAACAGAUUGUGCUGCUUCCAACACAACCUUUAUGACAA